AGAUCAGGGCUAUAGACACCCUGGUGUUGUAGUGAGACCAGACAGAACUGACCAUAGAUCAGAGCUAUAGACACCCUGGUGUUGUAGUGAGACCAGACAGAACUGACCAUAGAUCAGGGCUAUAGACACCCUGGGUUCAAACAGUACUGCAAAUAAUUGAAUGUACUUUAUCUGUGGGUGAUUGAGGGCGCCUGGCUAAAUGGACCAAUAGAUUAGUCCCAAAAUGGCAAACCACGCCCACCUGGAACUCCAGACAGUCUAGAGCAAACGCUGAAAGUAUUUGAAAGAUUUCAAAUAGGAUCUGAACCCAGGUCUGGUAUAGACUCUAGACCUCCUCCCCAGGUCUGGUAUAGACACUAGACCUCCUCCCCAGGUCUGGUAUAGACACUAGACCUCCUCCACAGGUCUGCUGUAGAUUCUAGACCUCCUCCCCAGGUCUGGUAUAGACUCUAGACCUCCUCCCCAGGUCUGGUAUAGACUCUAGACCUCCUCCCCAGGUCUGGUAUAGACUCUAGACCUCCUCCCCAGGUCUGGUAUAGACUCUAGACCUCCUCCCCAGGUCUGGUAUAGACUCUAGACCUCCUCCCCAGGUCUGGUGUAGACUCUAGACCUCCUCCCCAGGUCUGGUAUAGACUCUAGACCUCCUCCCCAGGUCUGGUGUAGACUCUAGACCUCCUCCCCAGGUCUGGUAUAGACUCUAGACCUCCUCCCCAGGUCUGGUGUAGACUCUAGACCUCCUCCCCAGGUCUGGUGUAGACUCUAGACCUCCUCCCCAGGUCUGGUGUAGACUCUAGACCUCCUCCCCAGGUCUGGUGUAGACUCUAGACCUCCUCCCCAGGUCUGGUAUAGACUCUAGACCUCCUCCCCAGGUCUGGUGUAGACUCUAGACCUCCUCCCCAGGUCAGGUAUAGACUCUAGACCUCCUCCCCAGGUCUGGUAUAGACUCUAGACCUCCUCCCCAGGUCUGGUAUAGACUCUAGACCUCCUCCCCAGGUCUGGUAUAGACUCUAGACCUCCUCCCCAGGUCUGGUAUAGACUCUAGACCUCCUCCCCAGGUCUGGUAUAGACUCUAGACCUCCUCCC